GGCCAGUAUGAGCAGAGUUUAAGGUCAGACAAUUACAUCAGGAUGAGUUCAAAUUCGAUAAUAGUUGGGGACGACUGGGUAAUAUGUCAGCCAAUAUCAGUCUGACACAGAUUUAGCCUUUGAGUGUUAGCUAUUUCAAAGCAAUGACACUGCCGGGAUGAAACCUGUUUUACAUCGAAAGCAACAUUGAGAAUGUGAUCAACACAUCAGUCUGUAGCUGGCUAUGAUUCAGCAGCAUGGCACUUUCGUCGUUACCUGACCAUUGAAUGACACUCUUAACAGUUACAACUGUUAAGAGUGUUUGAACUCAAAACAUACAGCUGAUCAACACAUCAGUCUGUGGGAAGUAGCUGGCUUUGAUUCAGCAGCACGGCACUUUCGUCGUUACCUGACCAUUGAAUGACACUCUUGACAGUUACAAC